rnacentral:rRNA from 1 species
ACGGAAGGCAGCAGCUAAGAAUAUUCCGCAAUGGACGAAAGUCUGACGGAGCGACGCCGCGUGGAUGAUGAAGGCCGGAAGGUUGUAAAAUCCUUUUAUAACUGAGGAAUAAGUAUGGUGAGAGAAACGCCAUAUGGUGACUGUAGGUUAUGAAUAAGCAACGGCUAAUUACGUGCCAGCAGCCGCGGUAAUACGGAGGAUGCGAGCGUUAUCCGGAUUUAUUGGGUUUAAAGGGUGCGCAGGCGGCACGUUAAGUCAGCGGUGAAAUGUCGGGGCUCAACCCGGGCACUGCCGUUGAAACUGGCGAGCUUGAGUACGGAUGAAGUCGGCGGAAUGUGAUGUGUAGCGGUGAAAUGCUUAGAUAUGUCACAGAACACCGAUUGCGAAGGCAGCUGACUAAUCCGCAACUGACGCUCAGGCACGAAAGCGUGGGGAUCGAACAGGAUUAGAUACCCUGGUA